rnacentral:tRNA from 1 species
GGUGGCUCAGUGGUAGAGUGCUUGUCUUGCAUGCAUGAGGCCCCAGGUUCGAUUCCUCAGCACCA